rnacentral:rRNA from 1 species
UACAGAGGGUGCAAGCGUUGUUCGGAAUUAUUGGGCGUAAAAGGGCGCGUAGGCGGUGCGGUAAGUCUGUAGUGAAAUCUCUGGGCUCAACUCAGAGUCUGCUGCAGAAACUGCCGGUGCUUGAGUGUGGGAGAGGUGAGUGGAAAUUCCCGGUGUAGCGGUGAAAAUGCGUAGAUAUCGGGGAGGAACACCUGUGGCGAAAAGCGGCUCACUGGACCACAACUGACGCUGAGGCGCGAAAAAGCUAGGGGGAGCAAAACAGGG